rnacentral:rRNA from 1 species
AGUUUGAUCCUGGCUCAGGAUGAACGCUAGCUAUUGGCUUAACACAUGCAAGUCGAGGGGAAACGACAUCGAAAGCUUGCUUUUGAUGGGCGUCGACCGGCGCACGGGUGCAGUAACGCGUAUCCAACCUGCCCACCACUUGGGGAUAACCUUGCGAAAGUAAGACUAAUACCCAAUGAUAUCUCUAGAAGACAUCUGAAAGAGAUUAAAGAUUUAUCGGUGAUGGAUGGGGAUGCGUCUGAUUAGCUUGUUGGCGGGGUAACGGCCCACCAAGGCGACGAUCAGUAGGGGUUCUGAGAGGAAGGUCCCCCACAUUGGAACUGAGACACGGUCCAAACUCCUACGGGAGGCAGCAGUGAGGAAUAUUGGUCAAUGGACGAGAGUCUGAACCAGCCAAGUAGCGUGCAGGAUGACGGCCCUAUGGGUUGUAAACUGCUUUUAUAAGGGAAUAAAGUGAGUCUCGUGAGACUUUUUGCAUGUACCUUAUGAAUAAGGACCGGCUAAUUCCGUGCCAGCAGCCGCGGUAAUACGGAAGGUCCGGGCGUUAUCCGGAUUUAUUGGGUUUAAAGGGAGCGUAGGCCGGAGAUUAAGCGUGUUGUGAAAUGUAGACGCUCAACGUCUGCACUGCAGCGCGAACUGGUUUCCUUGAGUACGCACAAAGUGGGCGGAAUUCGUGGUGUAGCGGUGAAAUGCUUAGAUAUCACGAAGAACUCCGAUUGCGAAGGCAGCUCACUGGAGCGCAACUGACGCUGAAGCUCGAAAGUGCGGGUAUCGAACAGGAUUAGAUACCCUGGUAGUCCGCACGGUAAACGAUGGAUGCCCGCUGUUGGUCUGAAUAGGUCAGCGGCCAAGCGAAAGCAUUAAGCAUCCCACCUGGGGAGUACGCCGGCAACGGUG